rnacentral:rRNA from 1 species
CCUACGGGAGGCAGCAGUGAGGAAUAUUGGUCAAUGGGCGCAAGCCUGAACCAGCCAAGUCGCGUGCGGGAAGACGGCCCUACGGGUUGUAAACCUCUUUUGCCGGGGAGCAAGCCUGAGCACGUGUGCCCAGGCGGAGAGUACCCGGAGAAAAAGCAUCGGCUAACUCCGUGCCAGCAGCCCCGGUAAUACGGAGAAUGCCAGGGUUAUCCGGAUUUAUUGGGUUUAAAGGGUGCGCUGGCGGGCUGUUAAGCAGGCGGUAAAAAUUCAGGGCUCCAACCUGUCGAGCCGUCGGAACUGGCGGUCUUGAGUGGGCGAGAGGUAUGCGGAAUGCGUGGUGUAGCGGUGAAAUGCAUAGAUAUCACGCAGAACGCCGAUUGCGAAGGCAGCAGACCGGCGCCCAACUGACGCUGAGGCACGAAAGCGUGGGGAUCGAACAGGAUUAGAUACCCGUGUAGUC